rnacentral:rRNA from 1 species
AACCUCCGCAAUGUGAGAAAUCGCGACGGGGGGAUCCCAAGUGCCAUUCUUAACGGGAUGGCUUUUCAUUAGUGUAAAGAGCUUUUGGAAUAAGAGCUGGGCAAGACCGGUGCCAGCCGCCGCGGUAACACCGGCAGCUCUAGUGGUAGCAAUUUUUAUUGGGCCUAAAGCGUCCGUAGCCGGUUUAAUAAGUCUCUGGUGAAAUCCUGUAGCUUAACUGUGGGAAUUGCUGGAGAUACUAUUAGACUUGAGACCGGGAGAGGUUAGAGGUACUCCCAGGGUAGAGGUGAAAUUCUGUAAUCCUGGGAGGACCGCCUGUUGCGAAGGCGUCUAACUGGAACGGUUCUGACGGUGAGGGACGAAAGUUAGGGGCGCGAACCGGAUUAGAUACCCGGGUAGUCCUAACUGUAAACGAUGCGGACUUGGUGUUGGGGUGGCUUUGAGCUGCUCCAGUGCGAAGGAAGCUGUAAGUCCGCCGCCUGGGAAGUACGGUCGCAAGACUGAAACUUAAAGGAAUU